CUGGAAAAUCAACCCCGGUUGCAUAGUAUACCUUUAAAGAAACACACCGUGCCACAAAGUGCAGAACUUGUGAAAAGGACAAAUGGGACAUUUAAAUCCAGACUUAAAAAGUGCAUGGAAGAAACAAAGAGGCCAUGGCCAGAAUGUCUGGACCUAGUAAAACUGUACAUGAGAAUAACUCCAACGAGCAGUGGUUUGACUCCAUUUGAAAUAAUAUAUGGCAGACCAUAUAAAUUAACGCUGUUCACAAAACAGACACCACCUAAAGAGGAAGGAAAGACUAUAUGAGAGAAAUGAUGCAGUUUAAAAAAGUGUCCAAUGCAAAUUUACUGCCAGGAGAACUUUUGUCUCCACAGGAUCCACAAGCAGUGAGACCAGGAGACUGGGUGUUCAUCAAAAUCAUUAGAAGAAAGGACUGGGCGAGCCAAAGGUGGGAAGGACCAUUCCAAGAGCUCCUGACCACGCCAACAGCUGUGAAGAUCGCUGACAGACCUUCCUGGAUUCACCUCAGCCACUGGAAGUUACAUUAAAUACCUAAAAGGUUGGAACAAUGGGGACGUCCGACUACAAAGGGGUUUGGUUUUUUAGGGCCACUCGUCUCAACGUCGGUGAAGAAAUCAAAUAAUCCCUGUUCUUUAGAGUUCUGGGUAAAAUUAACAUCUCUGCUAACCUAGAAAAAUGGCUGCCAUGAAGAUUUGGCUGGGAAAUCUCCCAGACCAUCACCCAGAGAACUUGUGGCAGAUGUAUGUGACGAUGUUGGCUGAAGAGAAGAACAUGAGUAUAUGUUACGUAUGCUCAGUGAUGCCCAAAUCCACCAGACAACCCACCCUGUAUGCUAAGAGCAUGCCGGCAGGAGACGGAACGUGUCUCCUGAGGACAGCCCUUGCACCUGUGUUUGUUUCUGACCACACUGUCAUCAUCUCAGCUCAAGCUGUGAAUGAAAAUCAUCCUUCUAAUAGGAGGAGAAGAGAACUCAGCUCCAGCUCAGUUUUCCAACCCCAUGAUCCCAUGUGGGGUUCCAACAUUCCCUCUGCACAUAAGCACUGGCGUACAGGGAGUAAAAUAGGACUUUCACUUUCCCGUGGUUUGGAGUUGGUAAAUCUAUGCUGAUGAUUAAGACACUGGACUAUAGAAUGAAGACUCUAGUGAACAUGACGAUGGACAUCAACAAAGGACA